rnacentral:rRNA from 1 species
CCUACGGGGGGCUGCAGUGAGGAAUAUUGGUCAAUGGGCUUACGCCUGAACCAGCCAAGUCGCGUGAGGGAAGACUGCCCUCUGGGUUGUAAACCUCUUUUGUCAGGGAGCAAUUGGCGCUACGUGUAGCGUUAACGAGAGUACCUGAAGAAAAAGCAUCGGCUAACUCCGUGCCAGCAGCCGCGGUAAUACGGGGGAUGCGAGCGUUAUCCGGAUUUAUUGGGUUUAAAGGGUGCGUAGGCGGAAUCCCACGUCAGCGGUAAAGUCGCGGGGCUCAACCUCGCUCCGCCGUUGAAACUGGCGUUCUUGAGUGGGCGAGAAGUAUGCGGAAUGCGUGGUGUAGCGGUGAAAUGCAUAGAUAUCACGCAGAACUCCGGUUGCGAAGGCAGAAGACCGGCGCCCAACUGACGCUGAAGCACGAAAGCGUGGGUAUCGAACAGGAUUAGAUACCCCAGUAGUC